CGAGCGCGAGAAGUCGAAGGUAGGAGCAGAAAGCGGUGUUAGUGUUAGUUCUGGCCCGUUUAGACCCAAACUAAAGUGUAUCAGUAUGAAGCAGGCGGUGACGGCGCACUGAUUCACUCUCGGAGCUCGGUUCACUAAUGACCGAAUCACCGAGGAACCGACCAAAGAUAACUCACACCCGCACGGAGAAGAAGAACAAGAGGAGGAGAAGAUGAGCUGGAGUGGGGCAAAGAGAACUGCAUUCAGAUCAAACGGAUACAAGAGAGGUGGCCGAGUUGUUUGAGGAUCUGAAGAAUUGAGUGUCACAAUUCAACAUGCACAUCAGCGAAACUUCUCCCUCUGACUACACCAGCACCCACGCACAGAAAUUCAUAGUGCAGGUGGUGAUUGCAGGCGCAUUUUAUCCGAACUGCUUCCUCCAGGGAACUGUGGACGAGGAGCUCGCCUCCAAGGAACUCUAUGGAAACGACCCCAGGACCACCAUAGUGGUGUGUAAUCUCCCUCCAUUUGCAUUCCUCUACUAUAAACAGCUCCAGUCUCUCUUCAGACACUGUGGUUAAAUCAAAUCCAUCUCCUUUGACAGCUCCAGGGCCUAUGUAGAGUUCUACCGCUCGUAAAUGAGAGGUUCUGGCGUUCUCCCAGAGGUCUCUCUGUCUCUCCUCCUCGCGCAGCAGAGACUUCCUCUCCAUCUCAACGUUUAACCCGCUGGAGAGGUGGAGACUUGGGCAGGGGGGUAGUGUAUCUCACACCUCAGAUAUACACGGGUGAAUGUGGAUUUUCAGAAUCAGUCAGUGAGCCCUGUCAGGGUUCUGAGCAGCUCCAUUGAGUUGGAGAAUCUUCCGUCUAACCCUGUCUUUAUCGUCAAUAUCACCGAGGUGUCUGUUCCGCCUCUCACUUUCAGUGCACAAAUAAAAAAAAGCAGUGGCUCCUGUGUGUGUGUGUGUGUGUGUGUGUGUGUGUGUGUGUGUGUGUGUGUGUGUGCGCACUAACAGGAGGUCCAGGUGCAGCCUUUGGAUAUUGAUGAAGAUUUACUGCCCCUGCAAGACCUUCCUCAACUGCGUAGUCUGGAGCAAAGGAUGCAACAGAGCCCAGAUUACAAGCAAAAUCUGGUAAACUGGUUGGCGCUUAUUGACGGGGUGUAUGUGCGUGACUGCACCUGGCGCAUAUUGAAGAGGGUGAUUGCUAACUCCCUGGCAAAGAAUCUCAAUUGGAGGGGAGUCAAUGGAAAGACUUCACUGUCCGCUCUCCAACUCGGAGAGGUCGUGAUUGCUGCAGUUCAUAGAAACCUCCUCACGGCUAAAGCUGCAGAGAUGGAGGUCGAGGGGACCAUGAAGAGGCGGCUCCAGCUGGCAUCAGAUCGAGAGUGUGGGCGCAAGAGCAGACUUUUGAUAAAGGAGGCGUGUCGGCCUUGGAGAUGAGAAUCACGCCAACUCGGAACGAUCCCCUCUCUUUGUGCAGUUCAUCGACUGUGUGUGGCAGAUGAUGAGACAGGUGAAACCCAGGGCUCAAACCAAGAGAAGACAUUCAGAGCUAUUCAUUCUUUAAAGUCAAUUUAACAAGUUUCCUUCUGCUUCUGAGUUCAAAGAGCUUUUUCUCAUCCCCAUCCUGGAGCGCCCCUACAGCUGCCUGUUUGGUACAUUCCUCUACAGCAGUGAGCAGGAGAGAAUGGAAAAGGAAGUACAGGGUAAAACGGUCACUGUGGUCCGACAUUAACAGUCAGCCGGAGGACUUCACUAACCCGUUCUAUGUGGACUGUAAAAACCAGGUGCUGUAUCCACUGGCCAGUCUCGCACAUCUGGAGCUCUGGGUGGGUUAUUAUGUGCGCUGGAACCCACGCAUGAGACCACAGAUGCCGCUCCAUCAGAAUCUGAGAGAGUUAUUGUUUUUGCGUGAAGAACGUGGAGGAGCUCCAGAGAGAGGCCACGUCAUCCUGUUCCAUCUCCUCAUCCUCAGAGCAUACUUCUCCCUCCUCACAUAGUGGUACACCACUUCACACUGCCGUCUAAAUACACACGCGCACACACACACAUACAUACAUUUAAGAGCACACACUGUCUUUACUCAAUGAAUACACUCAGGCACAAGUAGGGAGUGGAUGAGUAUGAAGCAGGCACACACACACACACACACACACACACACACACACACAUUCCUGUUUGCAAUUUUUUUAACUAUAGAGAAGUAACCUAGUGUCACAUUUUAUAAAUCCUUAAUACUUAAAAAUGGAUCUUGGAUCAAUGAGGUUUUCUACUGUUCUCAAGGUUUGGCAUGCUGUGCAUCCUGAGAUGCUUUUCUGCUCACCAUGUAUGUAAAGAGAGGUUAUUUGAUGUUACCAUGGCCGUCCUAUUAACUUGACCCAGUCUGGCCAUUCUCCUUUCGCCAACAACGUGUUUCCACCCCGAGAACUGCCACUUACCGGAUGUUUUUCAGACAAGUGUGUGUGUGUGUGUGUGUGUGUGUGUGUGUGUGUGUGUGUGUGUGUGUGUGUGGAAAUCCUAGGAGAGCCGCAGUUUCUGGAAUACUCAAACCAGACCAUUUAGAAUCUACAACCAUGCCACGGAUAAAAUCACUGGAUUACAUUCUGGUGUUUCAUGUGAAUAUUGACUGAAGCUCUUCAUCUGAUCCUGCUUGAUGUUGUACAUUGUGGUGUUGCCAUAUGAUUGGCUGAUUUGGAUAAUUGUAUGAAUGAGCACAUGUACAAGUGAUCAGUGAGCACAUCCAUCUACCAUAGAGGUAUUUUGGGGCAAUACUUGACAAUGUACCUGGCUUUGUUAGAUUUGUGGCCAAGUUGAAGAAGCUUUUGACAGCCGAAUGGAAAAAAAUUAAUAAAACAAUUCAAGACAAAUUCACUUUCAGUCUUGUUUUUUGUUUUGUUUUUUUCCCCCUUCAUGUUAAUCUCUUUCUACAGAACCCGUCCAAACUUCAUACGUCAAUGCAGUAAGCAAGAUAAACUGUCUACAGAUAAAGAAUCUAAGCAUGCAUCUGUUUUCACCC